ACGAACGCUGGCGGCGUGCCUAAUCCAUGCAAGUCGAACGCUUCUUUCCUCCCGAGUGCUUGCACUCAAUUGGAAAGAGGAGUGGCGGACGGGUGAGUAACACGUGGGUAACCUACCCAUCAGAGGGGGAUAACACUUGGAAACAGGUGCUAAUACCGCAUAACAGUUUAUGCCGCAUGGCAUAAGAGUGAAAGGCGCUUUCGGGUGUCGUUGAUGGAUGGACCCGCGGUGCAUUAGCUAGUUGGUGAGGUAACGGCUCACCAAGGCCACGAUGCAUAGCCGACCUGAGAGGGUGAUCGGCCACACUGGGACUGAGACACGGCCCAGACUCCUACGGGAGGCAGCAGUAGGGAAUCUUCGGCAAUGGACGAAAGUCUGACCGAGCAACGCCGCGUGAGUGAAGAAGGUUUUCGGAUCGUAAAACUCUGUUGUUAGAGAAGAACAAGGACGUUAGUAACUGAACGUCCCCUGACGGUAUCUAACCAGAAAGCCACGGCUAACUACGUG
rnacentral:rRNA from 1 species